rnacentral:rRNA from 1 species
CAGCCGCCGCGGGAAUACGUAGGUGGCGAGCGUUGUCCGGAAUUAUUGGGCGUAAAGGGAGCGCAGGCGGACAUAUAAGUCCAUCUUAAAAGUGCGGGGCUCAACCCCGUGAGGGGAUGGAAACUGUAUGCCUUGAGUGCAGGAGAGGAAAGCGGAAUUCCCAGUGUAGCGGUGAAAUGCGUAGAUAUUGGGAGGAACACCAGUGGCGAAGGCGGCUUUCUGGACUGCAACUGACGCUGAGGCUCGAAAGCCAGGGGAGCGAACGGGAUUAGAUACCCCCGUAGUCCCUGUCUCUUAUACA